rnacentral:lncRNA from 1 species
UUAAUCCCUUUUUACAAAUUAGCCUCUCAACAUUAACACAAUUGCAUUCAUUUUAGCAGCUCAGGUACAGAUAUUUUUCGCCUGCCCUUCUGAAUGUCCGUUUGAGCUCAAAUUGACAGUCAUGCUCGGUUUUACUUAACUUGACGAAAGAAAUUUUAAUCUUUCAGUUUUGACCAUAUUUGGUCACCAAAAGCUCUACCGAACUGUAAUCGCUAGCAGAUAACAGUCGAAUUUUAUUUUCCACCUUUCGGGUGUCGGAUUGACAUGAAACUUUAAAUCUAGUAUCAUAAAAAUAAUUCCGACAUAUUCCCAAGUUUUCAUAAUUUUCUGACACUGUGCAUUUUCUGCUAAAAUAUAAGCUCCGUUUCUCACAGAAAAUUCUAAAUCUUCUGUUUUUAUUCGGAUUUCAGCACAAGUCAUUUCUGACUUAUAUUUUACUUCUCUAAAUCUAAUAAAAAUAGUAUCUUAUACUAUUUUUAUUUAUUUUUAUUUUUAUAUCAAAAUCUGGUAUGUUACAAUAACUCGGCCCACCUAGCCUCACGCCAUUUUAAACAUGACUCGGUCCAACAUAGCCUCCCGCCACAAGGCAGGAUGCUGGCCUAUUUAAUCCAACUGUCAUGCCCCGGCCCAGCGGAAGCCGCCCGACACGUGCACAGACCCGCCGUGUACACCAACCAACCAGGAUGCACACAAGACGUCUAUUAACACAAGAAUGAACAAGAUCAAGUCCUAACAAGGCUAUCAGAGCAAGUAAUAUAAAAUCACUAAUGUUCUAUUACAAAGAGAUCCACAAGAUAUACAAAAUGUAUACAACUAAAUCCAAAAGUCUAACAAUAUCUCUAAAUCUAAUACAUAACACAUCUUUCCACAAAUACAAAAAGAAAGAUGACGUCGGGUUCAUCUAAAUAUCUCCGUAGGGGCUCUAGCUAGUCGCUAACCCCUUGCCACGAUCCCUAGCCUCUCCCACUGCGGAAGGCUCUGAAAUAAAAACCAACAACAAAUAGGGGUGAGAACUAUUAAACAAUAGUUCUCAAUGGGAAAGCCGUCGAGAGUAGCGAAAUACACAACUAGGUCAACUGAGACAUGCUAUAAUAGGGUAAGUAAACAACAUAUAUA